AGUGAACGCUGGCGGUAGGCCUAACACAUGCAAGUCGAACGGCAGCACAGUAAGAGCUUGCUCUUACGGGUGGCGAGUGGCGGACGGGUGAGGAAUACAUCGGAAUCUACUUUUUCGUGGGGGAUAACGUAGGGAAACUUACGCUAAUACCGCAUACGACCUACGGGUGAAAGCAGGGGAUCUUCGGACCUUGCGCGAUUGAAUGAGCCGAUGUCGGAUUAGCUAGUUGGCGGGGUAAAGGCCCACCAAGGCGACGAUCCGUAGCUGGUCUGAGAGGAUGAGCGGCAACGAUGAGAAUGAGACACGGCCCAAAAGCCUAAGGGUGGCACCAGGAGGCAAGCUUAGGCAAUGGACGAAAGUCUGACCGAGCACCGACGCGGGAGUGAAUAAGGUCUUCGGGUCGUCAAACUCUGUUGCUAGAGAAGAACGUUGAUGAGCGUGGAACGCUCAUCCAGUGACGGUAAGUACACAGAAAGGGAGGGCUAACUACGUG
rnacentral:rRNA from 1 species